rnacentral:tRNA from 1 species
GGCAUUUAGCUCAGUUGAUAGAGUGCCUGCCUCGAGUGCACAAGGCCCUGGGGUCAAUCCCCAGCACCA